UUUUAAUUGAAACUAUUUAUGGCUAUUUCUUAUUUCUUUCAAGGAAGGAAACCAUUAAAAGAGACAAAUGUAUUUAAUAUUUAUGGAACAAAUCUGCGGAGGUGUAACUCAAUUACUUUCAACUUUAAUCCUCUACUCCUAUGCCUAAGCAUCUAAUAAUAAGCUGAAAGAGGACAUAUUUUGCCAUUAAACUAACCAACCAUCAUUGGAGGUGGCAUGGCAGCCCAAAAUCACAAAAUUAUACAUGAAACAGAAAUACUAAUGCAAAUCAAAUUUCAGGAAUUUCAAAUUGGGGGCUCACGAUAACUGAAGUUCAAAAGAUUUAACAUCUUACCUCACUGUACAAGUCCAACAAUUACUUUAUCAUCAACAGGUAUCGCCCUUAUGCGACUCAUUCUCUCCAGAUGUUGUAGUUGGACUGAGCUCUCUUUUUUUGCCACUCUUCUUUGCUGCGCAUCGAUGUUGCACUGUCCUCGCAUUUAGUUGAGUCCUCACCAUGCAUUGAAGUUGGACACGGCUCGGAAGCUUCAUGCAACUCCAUGUGGUCAGCACUACUAAUUCUUUCUGAAGUUUCAGGUUCCCCAUUUUCAGAUGCAGAAGCUUCCUGAGAACCAGUGCUUGCUAAUAAUUCAGUGGGCUGCACAUCAGUAUGUCCAGGACACUUGGAGGCAGAAGGAAUAUUUUCUCUGACAGAAAGGUCACUGCCAGAGGUACUAGAUGUCACCCAUGUAAACUUCAAGUUGUUGCCUUGCCAACAACUGCCAUUUAAAAACGCCCUCUCAGCUGAACGGCGAGUUGUGAAAGUCAAGCGGGCUGAGCAAUUUUUUGUCGCCUCUGACCCACCAGCAUCAAUAUCUUCUAGUUCAACAGCAGCAAGAUCGCCAUAUGAUGAGAAGAAUUCCUUCAAGGCAUCAACAUUUGCCAAACCAGGUGGUAACGGAGGAACUAUUUUAAAAGCUGUGGGCCGAUUAUCCAACUUAUAUCUGUUCAUCACAAAGACUGCCCCUGCAGGUGCCACUGGAUAAAUUGGCUGCUUUGAGCCUGUAGGUUCAUGCUGCAAAAAUGACAUGCUUGUUUUGGGACUGGAUGAUAUGAGGUUUUCCACUGAUUUAUUCUUAUCCACCAUCAUCUCAGUAUGUGGAGAUGACACACCAGCAAUAGGGUCAAAGGACCUUGGAGUAGUAGCUUUUGCAACAUCAGUUGCUAUUCCUACUCUCUGUCUCUUAGAAGCAGGCUCAGCCACUACCUCACCUUUAACUCCUGUAGCUUGUUUCUCGAGUUUGUCCAAUUGGCGCCGGAAGUCAUUUCGCUUCUGGUCCAGCAACUCCUGCUUCUUGCGGAGCUCAUCCCUCAAUUGUUCCAGCUCUAGCUUCUUCUGCACAGGAGGAGGAGCCUUGGGACCAUUUAUAAUAGGCUUAGGAUGAUCAGUAGGAGGAAGAGACACAUCAGAUGGGGGGACCAUAGUACCCUUAGAAGCAGCAGACUGAAGAUUAUCUUUUCCUCUAUUACCAAUUAAAGGUUGGGGUGGAACUGAACCAGCUGGCACACCACAGGGAGUUACAGAUGCACCACUGCUACUGUUCAUGCCAUCAUCAGGUAUGCUGUCACGAUUAGCCCACCAUAGUUUGAUAAAGCGAUUGCCCAUUACAGCAUCAGGUGCUCUUAAAGCAGCUUCUGCCUCUUCCCUUUUUGAGAACUGAACAAAAGCUCGUUCGCUAUUCAAUGGGAUAUAAAUGUCAACAACCUCCCCAAAUUUUUGAAAAUGAGAAAGAAGAGCAUCCCUCUUGUUGUUUUUUUGUGGAAUGCCACUGACAAAUAGUGUACGUAGUGCCUUUUGAGAAGAUUUCCUUAUAUUACGCAUGGUAUCACUCUGUAUCCUGGCUGCUGAAUCAAUAGUUCUGGGGCCAACAUCGUCAGUAAUCAUUCGCUUUCCUUGACAAGUAGUACCUUGAAUAUUGGCUAAUGCUUCAUGAUCUUCUUUUGCUUCAUUAUUCCCAUGAUCUGAGGUAUUCAUAAUCAAAUCCGUUUUCUCUUUCAUAUCUAAUCUAUUCUUCACACUACCAACUCUACCCCAAACGGAUGAACCUGUACUCUGUGAACCAACAGGGAUCCCAGUGCUUCUAAUUGAACAUUCAUUGUCAGUAGUAUCACGCAACCUGACAUUAUGACGGUCAGAAGGAUCAACACUCAUGAAGGAUUCAUUUUCAUCAUUUUUGGAUGAAUUUAGUGCUAAGAGUGCACUUGAUGUUUCAGGACCAUUGUUAUUCCACAGUGGUUGGUCUGGAUCAUACAAGUCUGCUCCACUCACACUAGCAGAGCCAGAGUAUCCACCAUUCAAGCCCAUACCAUCAUCAACCAUUCCAGGCUUGCUAUUUCUGCUGUGUAGUCCUUUGCUAUUCAUCAAUGUGGCUGAAGGAGCACCAACCGAUAGCAAAGCCCCAGGUCCAGCAGGUGUUCCCACUAGUGGUGCAUUUGCAAGUGAAACAGGGAGAUUGAACUGUGAAAGGCUCUGAACAUCUUCGACAACAAUACGAUUGACACCAUGCUCCAUUGGACACAUGUCCCCUCUUAGACAAAAUCCACGCUCCUCAAAGUCUCUGCACCGCUGGCGGGGAAUGCCCAUGUUCAAUGAAGAAUUUACUGCCGGUCUGGGUGCUCCUUGCAAACCAAUGGAAUGGAGUGCGUCAAGGCCACCAUUGGGAAUUCCUGGAAACAAUCCAAAUGCAUUCCAGGAUGCAUUUUGUGCAUUUGGAACAUUUGGCAAUCCCCUUCCUGCAAAGAGACCAGGUGUAAUGGAUCCUUGCUGAACCAUUUGAGAAGCAAUAUCAACUGAGCUGAACCUAGAAUCACGCUGGUUCCAAGAACCAGGGUCCCUUCCUCUUCCUCUACCAGGACCAUGCUCUCCGGAAAAUGUUUGGUUUGACCUUAUUCUUUGAUUCAAAUCCAUACCCACUCGGGGUAAUGAUGCCAUUCCAGGCCGUCUCUUUUCAAAUUUUGAGGUGAAGUCUUUAUCCAGAGGAACAGCGUUAUAGUUUUUCCAGGUUUCACUCCCUUGAGAUUCAUUCUCCCUGAAAGGAUGCCCAUUUUCAAAUGGUUUGUAGUGCUUCCUGUAUGACCUUGUAAAAACAGGUUCCAGUGAACCUCUCUCCAAAGAUUGAGAACGUGUCUCUCUUCUUCGAUGUUUAUGAUUGCGAUCAUCAUCAUCCUCAUCACUGACUUCCUUCUCCUCAGGAUCACUAGAGCAAUCAGGAGGAGAAAGACCUCCUGACUUUAGUGAUGAAACCUUGAGCUCCAUCAAGAACUCCUGGAAUCAGGUCAUCAAACGUUUCAAAACUCUUGUUAGAUGCGGCAACAAAAUCAUCUUGAUUUCCCAGAGUCUAGCAAUAGGAGAAGAGCCUUGAUUUCCAGAGUAUAGGAGAACCUGGAAUCAGGUCGUCAAAUGUUUCAAACUCUUGCUAGAUGCGGCAACAAAAUCACCUUCAUUUCUCAGUGUCUAGCAAUAGGAGAAGAGCCAGAAAUUGUAGCAGGAUUGAGCAAAGAAAGGCUCUGAGAGUAUGACUGAAUUAGGAAUUCAAUCGUACAGCUCAUGGUGCAAUGGAGAAAAGGGCAAUAAAGCGGCAAUGGAAGGGCAUUUGAGGGAGAGAGGAGGGGACAGGAUCGCAGAAAAGCAAGAAUCGAGGGAGGGAUUGUCGAGAGAGAAAGAGAAGGAAGGAUUUUUGUGAGAGUGGGAUUUGUUGUUUGGCUUGCAGAGAAAGGGGUUGUUUGGCUUGCAGAGAAAGGGGUUGUUUGGCUUGCAGAGAAAGGG
rnacentral:misc_RNA from 1 species